rnacentral:rRNA from 1 species
AUGGCUGAGAUGGUCAAGUCUGUCAUUGUUGGAGAAGCAGUUAGCCGGAUUAUUUCUGGUAUUGCCCCCACCAGCAAAAGGCCGGACAGAUCAGUUGAAGAAGUAGCAAGGGGUUGUGGCCUAGAGAGGCUGGAGAUGGCGCACAUCAAAAUGGAGGCCGCACUCCAAACGUCCAACAAGUGGCAGAUCACCGACACAUCCCUGCUCCAUUGGCGAAAGAAGCUGAAGCGCGCCCAAGACUGCAACGACGUAGCGCGCACAUGCAGGCAACUUUCUCUGGAAGAAGACGAGGUGGAGCAGGUGGUAAGGCAAUCCUCAUUUGCUAGACGGAUGGCUCAUGCGACCAAGGUUUUCAUCUCCUCUUUCCUCGGCCGCGACAAUGAUCACUGCUCAACAGCUAGCACCGCAGCCGUCCGAAGAUUCGAGAGACUGGCGGAUGGUGCUGGUGAAUUUAUAAGAUUUGUGCAGCUCAGUGGAACACCACGACAACACCUGUUCUUCGACCCUCUGAUUGGGCAUAUCUUCGCAGGGAAAUCUUUGCUUUAUCAGGUGUUGCAUCCGGGAGGCCAGUUUCACGUAUUCGGCAUACGGCCAAUGGGGUUCGAGGAGCGAGGGUUGGAGGUCAUCCUAUCCUUCGUGUAUGAAGAUUGCAAGCUGCCCAAGAACAGUUUCCGCCUCGGAUUCAUGUUGCGUGUUUCUGAGAGUACAGACAUAAUCGGAACUACAAUCAAGUGCUUGCGGCUGCUGACGCCCCACUUCAAAUCCAUAGCCGAAAUUUUCAUCAACGAGAUCAGGCAGCUCCCCACACAAGAUUUCUUCUGUGUGCCACAAGAGGUUGCUAAUUCACACCUGGAACAUUGGAAUCACAUCCACACAACUUUGACUAGAUGGUUCCGACCAGUUCCGUUAUGCUGUCAAGGAUACGAGUCGCAUGACGAUAUGCCUUCUUGUGGCAGCGGCAGUAGCGGAAACAAAUUGAAAAUUUCAAGCAUCUUUCCAGAACCAGUCUGGCAAGUGUUUUUGCAGCGUCAAAUCUCAGUAUCCGAGUACAAUAGUCAAUCGCAGAGAUCAACCGCAGCAACUGGUAAUCGAUGUGCCGGCGACACAUCUACUUCUCCGGAGAAUUUCGCACCUUUGAAGCUAGUGAUUUUAUAUUUUAUUAAUGCCUCAUCACCCGAGAAUCCUGAGUCUACAAGCGAGGACUCUGCGAUAGAGGCGAUCGAUGGAGAGUAGCAACACCUCACCCAUGUAAAUGUUCACCCGCACCAACUCGAUGAGAUGCUUCUCCCGAAGGCGAUAGAUUAUCUUUGUCAUAACACCGAGGCUACAAAUUACCAGAUAUGUUGGACAUCUAACCAUGGCAGUGCACACCUAUACGUGGAGAAGACAAGGAUGCUCGGGGCAUGCAUGGACGUCACAACCACACGACGAGUUGUUUGUAAGAUGCUUCAUCAGGAGCAGCACGAUAGACGAAUAGGGAAAGUGCAGUUGAAGCUGGUAGCUACAUAUCUCCUCAAACUAUGGGUCGUGCGUUCUUCGGAGAGGCUGCGGAGCUUGUUUUCGGCAUGGAUCGACUAG